UGGGGAAUUUUGGACAAUGGGCGAAAGCCUGAUCCAGCAAUGCCGCGUGUGUGAAGAAGGCCUUCGGGUUGUAAAGCACUUUUGUCCGGAAAGAAAUCCUUGGCUCUAAUACAGUCGGGGGAUGACGGUACCGGAAGAAUAAGCACCGGCUAACUACGUGCCAGCAGCCGCGGUAAUACGUAGGGUGCAAGCGUUAAUCGGAAUUACUGGGCGUAAAGCGUGCGCAGGCGGUUUGCUAAGACCGAUGUGAAAUCCCCGGGCUCAACCUGGGAACUGCAUUGGUGACUGGCAGGCUAGAGUAUGGCAGAGGGGGGUAGAAUUCCACGUGUAGCAGUGAAAUGCGUAGAGAUGUGGAGGAAUACCGAUGGCGAAGGCAGCCCCCUGGGCCAAUACUGAUGCUCAUGCACGAAAGCGUGGGGAGCAAACAGGAUUAGAUACCCUGGUAGUCCACGCCCUAAACGAUGUCAACUAGUUGUUGGGGAUUCAUUUCCUUAGUAACGUAGCUAACGCGUGAAGUUGACCGCCUGGGGAGUACGGUCGCAAGAUUAAAACUCAAAUGAAUUGACGGGGUCAUAGCUGUUUCCU
rnacentral:rRNA from 1 species